GAUCGAAUAGCGUAAUGAUUAACGUCUCUGUCUGCCACCCAGCAGACCUGGGUUCGAUCCCCACCCUUUACCC